GAUGAAGAACGUAGCGGAAUGCGAUAAGUAAUGUGAAUUGCAGAAUUCAGUGAAUCAUCGAAUCUUUGAACGCACAUUGCGCCCGCCAGUAUUCUGGCGGGCAUGCCUGUUCGAGCGUCAUUACAACCCUCAGGCCCCCGGGCCUGGCGUUGGGGAUCGGCGGAGCCCCCCGUGGGCACACGCCGUCCCCCAAAUGCAGUGGCGGUCCCGCCGCAGCUUCCAUCGCGUAGUAGCUAACACCUCGCGACUGGAGAGCGGCGCGGCCACGCCGUAAAACACCCAACUCUUCUGAAGUUGACCUCGAAUCAGGUAGGAAUACCCGCUGAACUUAAGCAUAUCAAUAAGCGGAGGA
rnacentral:misc_RNA from 1 species